rnacentral:tRNA from 13 species
GGUUCCAUGGUGUAAUGGUUUGCCCUCUGGACUCUGAAUCCAGCGAUCCGAGUUCAAAUCUCGUUGAAACA